UUCCGGUUGAUCCCGCCGGAGGUUACUGCUAUCGAGGUUCGACUAAGCCAUGCGGGUCGAAUGUAGCAAUACAUGGCGUACUGCUCAGUAACACGUGGACAACCUACCCUCCGGACGGGUAUAAACCCGGGAAACUGGGUAUAAUCCCCGAUAGAUCUCGGUCGCUGGAAUGCCCCGAGAUCGAAAGCUCCGGCGCCAGAGGAUGGGUCUGCGGCCUAUCAGGUAGUAGUGGGUGUAGCGUACCUACUAGCCUACGACGGGUACGGGUUGUGAGAGCAAGAGCCCGGAGAUGGAUUCUGAGACACGAAUCCAGGCCCUACGGGGUGCAGCAGGCGCGAAAACUUUACAAUGCCGGCAACGGCGAUAAGGGGACCUCGAGUGCCAGGUUACAAAUCUGGCUGUCGUGAUGCCUAAAAAGCAUUGCAUAGCAAGGGCCGGGCAAGACCGGUGCCAGCCGCCGCGGUAACACCGGCGGCUCGAGUGGUAACCGUUAUUAUUGGGUCUAAAGGGUCUGUAGCCGGCCGGAUAAGUCUCUUGAGAAAUCCAGCAGCUCAACUGUUGGGCUUUCAGGAGAUACUGUUCGGCUCGAGGCCGGGAGAGGUGAGAGGUACUUCAGGGGUAGGGGUGAAAUCUUGUAAUCCUUGAAGGACCACCAGUGGCGAAGGCGUCUCACCAGAACGGACCUGACGGCAAGGGACGAAAGCUAGGGGCACGAACCGGAUUAGAUACCCGGGUAGUCCUAGCCGUAAACGAUACUCGCUAGGUGUCGGCCACGGUGCGACCGUUGUCGGUGCCGUAGGGAAGCCGUGAAGCGAGCCACCUGGGAAGUACGGCCGCAAGGCUGAAACUUAAAGGAAUUGGCGGGGGAGCACCACAACGGGUGGAGCUUGCGGUUUAAUUGGAUUCAACGCCGGG
rnacentral:rRNA from 1 species